GCAUCAGUGGUCCUGUGUAGAAUGCUUGCUUAUCAUGCAAGAGAUCCAGGUUCGAUUCCCAGCCAAUGCA
rnacentral:tRNA from 1 species